rnacentral:lncRNA from 1 species
AAAGGGAAAUAAAAGAAGGUAAGGAAAAAAAAGGAAGGAAAGACAGAAGAAAGGAAAGAAGGAAACGAAGGAAAGAAGGAAAAAAAAGAAAAAAAACAGAAUGGAAAGGAAAGAAAAGAAGAAGAGGAAAGAGACGGAGGUACCUAUGUAACUCUUGACCAACAUUGACACUAGGACAGGGUGGGGCAGUGGAGCAUCUCAUUCUACGGAGCAACCAGAAUAUCCCCGUCCUACAGAAUUUAAAACCUUGAGUCCAUACAUAUUGGCACUCGAAGAAUCCCAAAAAAAAAAGAUAUCAUGAUAAAAGUGAUCCUUUUGGUUGUUGCACAAUCUUGACAUCUAUGGUUUCCCUGCCUCAAAAUGACCUAGAGCAGCAAAUAUGAUCAUUUAAAUUGACAUUGGUGUUAUAUGCUUAUACUUACCAAAUUUAGUUUCAACCUCAUUCUUUGUAGAUUUCCAAUAGUUUCCACAGUUAUUUCAUUCUCCAUCUUAUGGACAUCUAUUGUAUUUUCUUUGACAUUUAGAAAUCAAACAAUAUCCCACCUUAGUUCCAAAACAACAAUCAGAAAAUAUAAAAUUUUUCAUCUCACCUAGUUUAUCUCAACUUCUUGAAGCUAUUUAUGGAGGUUUACAAUUGUUUGUUUAUGCCAACGAGACUAUUAUCCAGAAAUCUGCUUCAAAUGUUUAAUAUACUCAAUAUAUGCUUAUCAUCCUCUUACAUCUUUUAAUACCCCAUAAAGGCUGAGGAUGCCAUCGUCAAACCAUUGAAGACAAGUUUUUCCAACAAUUAACUCUAAAGAGCAUACUCAGAAAACCACAAAACUCUAAAGAGCAUACUCAGAAAACCACAAAAGCAUUUGUGCUUCCUAAAAAAGGCAACUAGUCAUUUUUUCCAACAAUUAAAAAUCUAAAAGUUAUAUAGCAUGUAGAUGUGGGCUAAACACCUUUCUAACCCUUUUUUGCAGCAAAAUUGAUUCAUAAAGGUUUCAGCAUAUUCAACUUCUAACAGAACCUCGCACUUCACUAAUUGUUGUUGUACAAACUACCCAAACUUGAAAACAGUAAUCACAUGCUUUUCUCUAAUUUUUUAUAGAACUUUUAGUCAAUACCUUCACUGCAAGAAGACCAAGAGCAAAUGCACUCCCCUUCUCAACCUCGUGCUGGAAGGGCAGCUCCCCACCUGCAUUCCCUUCCCUUGGCCCCAGCAGCGUCGGCUCCUCCAGAUGCAUCACGAGCUCCGGCACCGCUCCCGCUUCCACGAUCACAUUUACCAGCUCCUCUGCCAAAUUAGUCAACCAAAGUAGACCCUUUAUAGAUAAACAAAACACAAGAAUUGAUUUAAAAAAAGAAAAGAAAGACAUAGGAAGAGUUCAAAAUUAAGGAAAAAAAUGGAAGACGGAUUCUUUAUAGAUAAAUAAAGCCCAAAAUUGAUUAAAAAUAAAAAGAAAGACCUAGCAAGAGUUCAAGAUCCUAGUUGAAUCGCAAAGUUUAGAAAACAAUGGAAGAUGGAGAAGAGAAGAAGAUUAGGGGUGAGGAGGGUUUUGGGCCCACCGUUCUUGGCGAGCUCGGCGAGGACGUGGGUGGCGCGCUUGGCGGCGGCGCGAUCGGCGACGGUCCAGGAGAAGGAGUGCUGGAGGACCUCGACCUGGGCCCUCACCUCGCGAGUUAGGGCUAGCUGCGAGUGCUGGCAACAGAUGUCCUCCCUCCCUCCCUCCGCCGCCGCCGCGGCCACCACCGCCGCCUCCUCCAGCUUCCUCUUCUGCCCCUUCCUCCGCUGUCCCGCCCCAGCUUGGUGCUGCCGUUGCCGCGGCUCCUGCUCCUCCUCCAUUGCCCAAGAAGGGAGAGAGGUUGGGCCGAGGGUAAGCUUUGUACCGAACGGAAAUCUAAAAUUCCCAAACUGCCCUUAGUCCCUCCCCAAGAAAUUCUUAAAUUUUAUGAAGUUCUAAAUUUCGUAUCGCGAUUAGACGGGUGGGAUUGGACGGAGGAGAAUAAAUUGACGGCAGAUGAUGCUUCGAGGCGGCGUGGGUGGUGGCGUCGCGCCCAAGCCCAGAUACGGACUACUUUUGUUCAUUGCGGUAUGUGCGAGUCCUAGAACUACUUUAGUUCUUCCUCUUUUCUUUUUUUUUUUUUCUACAAAUUUUGCCAUUCCUUUAUCAUAUUAUGUGGCACGGUUUUUUUUUAUUUUAAUAAAUUAAUUAAACAAUUCGUGUACGAACACAACUAAUAAAAUUAAAAAAUAUAAGCUCACAGAAUACUCGAGACAACUUCUUCUCUCAUGACUACAGAAUACUUUCUGAAUAGUUAACCACAUAAGCAGCCAUCCAGUCGGCAGCGCCGUUGGCCUCUCUAAAUAAAUGCUUGGCCUAUAAGGCUCCACCAUCUCUCAUAAUCAUCUAAAUGUUUCAAAGUAAAGAAUGGUCCGAACUCGUAUCCCUCGACCCCUUUAGAUCCAAUUAAUUUUGAAUUUGGUUAGGGAGGCCACUAAUUAUCGCACUAGCAAAGAAGCCACGCUACGCAGUGGAUUGUAAAACAACUAUGCUGAAGAAAUAGUGAUUAAAUAGAACAGAGCUUACGGUUAACUUAUACUUAUUUGCCGUCUUUCGGAGCUUCUUUGCUUGAGCUAGGAAAAAGUGACGAAAUAUUUUAAAUAAACAUAAAAAAACAAAGUUCGAUGACGUGGUUUUGGUUAAAGAUGCGUUACCUUCUAUCAGGCCUUUUUGCGGUUUGCCAUGAAUUUUGUGGCCACUGAUGUCAUUGAAGUGACAAUUCCAUCACAAAAUUCUUUACCGCCAUCGUCUCCUCGCAAAAGAGUACGCGCACGUUUUUCAGGAGUUUACAUUGCAGCUUCUUUAGGAAGCUUUGACGAAAAGGCCCACCACCAGAACAUGGACGUCAAUUGCUCGAAUCCAGUUCAUCUUUUUGAAAGAUUUUCAUCAUCCUGAAACUAGCGGUAAAUUUAAACUUAGUGCUAAAAUUUUGUGAACCAAAUAUAACUUGAAAAAUAUAGGCAAUAUUAAGAAUUUUUUUAACAAUGAUAUCAGAUCUUGCAUUCGUCGCAAGAUUCAAGGUAUAGCAGUUAAUUGCUGAGCCAAUUUAUCGAAUAUAAUAAAAUUUGCCGCACUAGUUUCAUCAUUAAAGACUGCAUUUAAGUUGUAUGAAAAACAAUUGCUGCUUUAAUAAAUGGGAAGAAUAUGAUCUAAACAUAUUUAGAGGAAAAAGAAAAGGAGAUAUAAUAAUUUUACCAUAGUGCUAGAGGCUGGUCAUUUUUUUUCACAUUGGCUAUAUUAAAAUUUAUCCCCAUAAAUUAUUACCGUGGAUCCACAAUUAUAGCAAACUUUGUACCACCUACCGUAAGAGGAGUCGAAUGCUUUUAAAAAUGCAUUACAUGUGCUAUAAAUAUUAUCAAACUUUGAUUGUUUUUUUUAUUAGCAAUUGCUUCUUGUUGGGGAUCAAGAAUAGCUCGUUUGUCAUGUGCUAUAAAUAUAAUUGAACAUGUUAAUGUUUGCAGCCCAUGCAUUGUUUUAUACAUUUGGUGAUCCCAUAUUUUUAGUAGAUCUGUAUAUCCUCUAUUUUCAGUAGAUUAACAUCUGAAUAUGUUUUAUUUUCUAAUGGAUCUGCAACUCCUCUUUACUACUUUUUUCUUCAGCUUUAGAUCUUCGGUCAUCUUUCCUCACCGUCACUCGACCCCUUGUUCUUCAUCUCCAAUUUUAUUUACUGCCUCCGGCUCUUUCACCAUCCAAUACGAGAUCCCUUGCUCUUCUUUGAUGGUACCUCCGUCUACAAGUAUCGUCUACCUUCAGUGUCUUCUCUCUGAGCUCUGUCCUCGUUGUAACUAUCAUCUUCUAUUAUUGCUGCUACAUUAUCAGACAAGUCAAUUAGCCAUAUUGGUAGAUACGUUAGUCUGUCACGUUAGUCAGUCAUGUUAGUGGAUGCAUUUAUUUACCGCGUCAGUUAGCUACGUCAACAUUACCAAACAUAUUAGUUUGCUGCACUAGCUUUCUGAUUUACCAUAUUAGUUUCUAAGUUGCUAUGUCAGUUUCUAUUCUGCCAUAUUAAAUUCUAUAUUGUCACAUCAACUUGACACAUCAGUUGCUAUAUUGGCUUCUGAAUUAUUAUAUCUACUUCUAAUCUGCUACAUCAGCCUCCGAGCUGCUAUAACAACUCAUGUUCUGCCACAUUAGGCUCCGUGCUGCCACGUCAACUCUUGAUCUACCACCACAUCAGCUCUUGAUCUACCAUCAUGUUAGUCUUUGAGCUACUAUAUCAGAUUCUAGUCUAUCACGUCAGCUUCUAAACUGCUAUUUCAACUCUUGAUCUAGCAGUUUUUGGAUAAAUUUGUAAUUCAAUUUUCCAACUCAAGUUGUCACCUAAAGUACCAUCUUCAGUUUAAGAGAAAAUGUUAGCAUAAUUUUAGGGGUCACAUAACAAUCUGUAUCAGCCCAUAAUAUUUUUCUUUAUUAGUAUGAUUCUGUAUCGGUCAACAUUAUUUUUUUUAUUAGUAUGAUAUUGUUAGAGUGAUUUUAGGGAUCACAUAAUAACUUGUAUCAGCAAGUAAUAUUUUUUUGUUAGCAUGAUUUUAUAUUAGCAUAUAUUAUUUUUUUAUAUGGAAUUUGUACAUGAGUAUAGAUUAUCCCUGAGAUAUACCGAAUAUGAUGGAACGGUUAAAUUUUUUUUUCUUUCUCUCUCUUUUUCUUGUUUUGCUCUUCUUUUACAAAUAUUUUAAUAGGAACAAAAAGUCUAUGGAUCACCAUACACCGUAAUCUUACUUUGUCAUCUUUCUUUAAAGGUUUUCUUUCUUCUUCAUAUUAUCUUCCUUAAACUCGUCUUCCUUUUUGAAGUUGAUGGAUAUUUCGAUUGUUUACUUGUUUUUGGGAAAAAGAUCAUGUUCCUUUUUUAUUGACAAACUUGUAUCGAUACAUCUGGAGGGAUCAUAUUGAAUCCCUAUUUGCAGGAACCUUGGAAAUCCUCUCUCUUUUCUUCAGAAAUGGAUCCUUCAUAUCUAAGCACAAACCGUUGGAAGCACUAUUAAAUUAGCUUUCUGAAUCCUUAUAUUUCAUGCCAUAGGUUCAUUAUCUUCCUCAUGUGGGUUAUCGAGUAAGAUGCAUGUGCACAUAUGCCAUAAGAAAAUGAUAACAAAAUCCUACUAUCAAUGGUAAAAACAAGUCAUACCAUUUGUUUCUUAAGGAAACUAUAAUUUAGUAAUUACUGCAGUAAGUCAAAACUGCUUGUAUAUCAUUCAGUAUGUAUAUUAGUAAAGGUUCGAUUAAUUUGAACAUUAAAUGCAAAUAACAUAACCAGACAAAGUUGAUUUCCAUGUGCAUAUUGUACAAGCAAUAUAACCAAAGAUUCCUCCUAGCCUUGUGUCCUUUCCUUUUACUGACCUUCUCCUGCCAGCAGGAGUGGCUCAAUGCAUUUGAAAGCCUAAGGUGAACUCACUAAGAGGGGUCUUUUUUCUUUCCGUUUUGUCUUUGAGGCCUGCCCUACAGUGGGCUGGCCUAAGGCGAACUCACUGAGGGGGGCCUUUUUUCUUUCUAUUUUGUCUUUGAGGUCUUCCUUGCGGUAGGCAUUCCUUACGCCGGGGCUUUAGAUGACCGCCUCAGUCGCCUAAAGGUUGGGCCGACCCUACCUGCCUGAACUCCUUUGGUAGCCAUUUGACAUCGGAUAAUCUAGGACUAGGAGAUGAAGCUCUGAUACAAAACUAAUGCCACAAGGAAUUGGCAAAAGUUUAAUAGGAGGGUUAGUUUGACGCAGUAGAAAGUGCAGGUGACAAGAUUUCGUAUAUAAUAUGAGAUUGGGGUGGAUCUGAAAUGGAAAGAUGAAUUUGUUAAGAUAGUUUUGUGGUUGACGAGUAGGGUUCUAGGCAGGAAAUUAUAUUGGAGUUGAUCAUGUUAAAUGGACAGACAACUAUUUUUUGGGUCAUUUAAUAGCAUAUCCAGAUGUAGCUUACUGUUGACCUCUGAGGGUUUAAAAAAAAUUAGUCAGUUCAAAACCUUUCUAAUGGAAGGUUAGUACUCUGUACAAUGCGGAAGAAAGUGCAAGUGUAAGGUUUUUGAAUAUAUUAUGAGAUUGGGUUGGAACUAAAAUAGAGAGGUUAAUUUUGUUGAGAUAGUGUUUUUAUUGAUGUUUAGGGUUCUAGGAAGGAAAUGGUUCACAUUAAAAGGACAGGCUGCUGCUUUCUAGGUCAUUUAACAGCAGAUCUGCAUGUAGCUUAUUGUUGAUCUCUGAGGGUUUAAAAUAGUUAGCCAGUUCAAAACCAUUAUAUAAGUUGGAAUGAAGCUCCCUAAGAUGCAAGUGUAAGAUCUUUUAUUCAAAUAUAACUUUGACAAAACUCGUAAUCAUACACCAUCAGUAGAUCACUUGCUGUGGAUCCAUGGAUGAAUCUUAAGCCAUUGGUGGCACCCACCUAUAUCCUUCAUUGGUUGACCUUGGUGGAUUGACCAGCACUGUGACCGUGAUGCUCAUCUUUGGUCUGGCCUCUUAGUUGUAAAUAUCAAUGCUUGAACCACCAACAUGCAAGUCAGGCUUUGCCAUUUGAAAAUAUAUCUUGACCAAAGAUGGUGGGACCUUUCAGCUUGGACCACUGAAGAAUGCCUAGAAUCAGAAAGCUCCAGACGCCCAUCAAGUGCCAAAUGGUAAUAAUCAGGGUUUGCCAUAUUGGUCGGUACCAUACUAGUACUGAACUGGAACGUAAUCUUGUACUGUACCAAUACUCGGUACAUCAUCUUGUAACGUACCAACACUCGGUACACCUUGCAGUCUCGUACUAUAUCACAUACUUGUGAAGGUACAAAGAUAGAAAACAAAACAGUGAAAAACAAAAGUAACAAUAAAGAAUAGAUAUAAGGAGAAAAUUGAGGAAUUCAGACAAUAAUUCUUAAGAAGAAUUGGAUGGUAAUGUCAUAGAAUAGAUGCCAUACAUUUACCAUUUCACAUCCAGGAUUUAUAGUAAUAUCGGAAUUUUACUUAACACCUUAAGAUGAAUAAACAUCCAAGUUUGCAUUGGGGUGUUGGCCGGACAUGUUGUGGUGAGAUAUAACAUAGAAAAGGCUAUGGUGGCACUAACUAAUUGCUUUUCAGGCAUGGAGGGUAUGAUGAUGGAGGGAGAUGCUAUUCAUAUCGUUUAUUUGUCUGAGGAAAUGAAGCUCAUCAAACAUAGGUGUGCAUUAAUUUUAAAUGACUGGUAUUACGGUCACUUUACUUAAUAUAAAAUUCUUUAACAAAAACAAAGCAUUGAAGCAUUAGAAGAGUCACUAUAGUAUAUGUGCCUGCAAAAUUUUUCGACUGUAGAGAAGUUGAUCAUAAAUAUACCAAUGCAAAAAAUUUCCCACUGAAGCACCACAAGAAGUCCUAUAGGAGAAAUUUUCAUAAUACUCAAUGAGCACUGCCGAACAUAGUUCCUUUAACAAUUGUUAAAAAAUUGAACUACUUUAAAAUCAGUUUGGGUUACAAUUACAAUAUCAAUAUGUAGAAAGAACAAAAAUAACCAACACCUAUAUAUAGGGCCAACAAUCACUGCAUCUCAUUGCUGCAGUAAAAGUUUCCACUAUAAUUCAUGAUCUUAUACUCGAGAAAAUGUCUCAAAGAAUUGUCUACAGCAUGAUACACUUCCUUGCGAAGGAAUGGAACAAUUUAGAAGGAAAAGAAGCAUACAUUGAGCUCUGACAUAAAAGGAUUCCUCCAAUAACUUAGGCAUAACUCUGUCUAUCACUUUGAGCGGAUGCUAGAUGCUUUAGCUCUGCUAGAUGUUCAUCAUUUGAAAUACGGAGCUGAAGGCGGAGCUGUGUCAAGAAUGCUUCUUGCUCCCAAGUUAAGUGUUCAGAUGAAUACAAUGCCAUCUUGGUACAGUGGUAGGCAUGCAAUUCUAAGUGAUGAUCAGGCGACUUAUCUUGAGUUGGACAAGUUGUAAGAUGGCAGGAUGAUGAAUAAACACCACCGCAAGGACUACAGCUACCCACAGAGGAUGAGAUACUGUGAGUAUCAUUUCCUUCUAGGGCAUCAGUAGAUCCAAAUUCUCCGUGAUUCAUCGAAGCAUGCUUGCGUAACUCAGCAGGUGCCAUGCAGACGCUGCGCCUUUUCCUCUGGCCUGCCUCCAGACCAUGGUGUUCUUUAAGUGGAACCUCAUACACUUUCACUUAUCUAGUAGGCGGAGCGGUAUGAUGGUUGAAAUCCUCUGCGACAUUAGACCGCCUUAUGACCUUUGAAUCCUUAAAUCUACUAGAGUCCUACCAUCAAGUGAUGAGAACAUGAGCAACAAUAUAAGAACAACUAAUAAGAAAAGCUACAUGGGCAGCAUUGCAGCUAGAGAUAAUUUUGUAACAUACGGGAAACAAGUUGUCUAAAAGCUCAUGAAUCAGUAGAAAUUAAAGCCACUAGUCCAAUCUUACAGUAAUAUUAACACAAAAAUAAUGAAUAUAAAUAUAUUAAACAAGAGAGGAUAGAAUUGUUAUAUAUAGAAAAAGAUUCUAUCACUCACCUUCCGAAUUAUAACCCAGUGGUUGUCUUCCCAAGAUUGUUGCACCCUAAGUUUAGAUUUAUGAGCUAUGAUUAGCUUACAAGAUCCAAUGAUUCUAACGAAAUAGUAGUCCCCAACAGCCACACUUGACACUCUCGCAUGCUUCCACGAGUGGUUCUCGAAUGCUUCAACGAUGUCGCCAGGAGUCCAAUUCGUCGAACCAACCACCGAUGGAGACAAUGGCCUAAUGAAUUUCCUCGAUACUCUUUCAGUUUCUGCAGCCAUGCCAGGUUGGUAACUUUCAUGCUUGACUUCAUAGGUGUGCUCGUUACCAGAUAUGACCUCAGCACACCGCCAAGAGCCCAGACUUGCUUCACUCUUCCUCCACACCUCUACCUUAAUCCCUCUCUUCAAUCUCAUGAUCGCCAUGUUGAUGUUCCAACUCAGUUUUCAAACCCUGAUUCAGAAAAGAUGAAGAGCUAUUCACUCAACAGCACAUAAAGAAGUCUUCCAUUAUUAGACCAAUGACAGCCAAAAUUAUCGAAGAACUCAUUGAUGUGAUUCAAAUAUCAGAGAAGAACGCAUCACAUUCAAGAAAACAACUAUUCUAUCAUUAAUGAAGUCACUGACCUUUGGAUGGAAGCAACAAAAGAGAGAUCGAUCGCAGUAAGAACAAAGAAUAACUUUCUUCACUGUCUAUCAAUCCUUUUGUUCUUCCUGCUUUCUUGACGUAGCCUGCGAACAGCCCAAGUCUAGUAUGAUUUUUAUAGACUCGGCAAUCGACGUGUCUUUAUAUCUUUUACAGAACACGGCGUUUCCUAGUCCUGGAUAGAAUAAAAAAAUAGGAUCUUUAAUCUAGGCCGUCUGAUUGGUAUAAUUUUGAAGCUGGGUGCUGCGUCAGCUGCUUUAAAAUUCAGAGAUAGGACUAAAUAGCUGGUUAUAUUGUAGUGAUAGGAUAAAAUCGGGCUUUUGGAUUUUGCUAUUUAGUCCCUAGAACCUGCUUAAUAUUAAAAAUAAAAUUCCUUGGAGGUGUAGGGAUGCAUUGUUUAUUACAUAAAUAUUAUAAUUUUAGUGCGGAUAUCAAUCUCUUUUGCUAAUCUUUUCUUUCUUGGUGUAUGCUGAAUGGUUCUUUCUACAGACCAAGGUUUGGGUUUAAAUCCUCUCCAAUACUAACUUUAUACAAGUCAAAGUAUGUGAAACAAAGUGACCCAUGUGCUUAGUUCUGGCACGAUAAGUUGGAUUUAAACCAUAAUUUAUCAAAUUAGACAUCAAGUAAGUGGUUGAUGUAAUGAAAGACCACCAAAGCUAUUUACAUCAUAUCUCAGCAAUCUAGUUGGUGACCAGGAACAAGCAUCAUUUGGAUUAAGUUUAAUAGGAUCAGAGUAGAUGAGAAUCACAUGAUUUUUGCUAAGAUUGGAUAGAGUUCAACUGCGAAAUCAUACUUAAGGUAGAAAUUCGGGCAGUGUGGAGCCCAUUGAAAGAUCAAGUCUCGGCUAUUGACCGGUAGAAGACCGAAGUGAUCAUAUUGGUCUUAGGUUUCCUAGAACAAAGAGGCAUAUUGUAGGUUGAAUGAGGUGAGAUAGCCAUCGCUAGUUGCGUAGCAAAAGUUAGAGGUCGAUAAGGCUUGACUAUUGGUCUUAUAAUUGCAAAAUGAUUGUACCUGUAUACAUAGAUGGUUGGUAAUAAUUACUGAAACCACCAGGAGUGGAGACUAGACGUAGGAAGCAACCAUCAGAGUAGAUAGUGAUUGUGUAUUGUUAUAAAUAAAUAGAAACUCUAUAGAGAAUCAUCCGACAAUCGAUCCAAUAAAUUUAUCCUUAGAAGCAGGCAAAACUUAGAUCAUCUAUUGUCGUCCAGCCCAACACUCUUAUCAUAUCUCAGUAUUACACCCCUACCAUAGCCGAAUGCCGCACUCUUCGAAUCAUGCUGUGACAGAGGUGAAAGUUCUUGAAGGUCAAGUUACCUAAAUCUAUGCUACUCUUUAUCCUUCUUUCGACCCAUAUCUUUCCAAUUGGCCCAAUACCGAAAGCACAUCCAUGCACGUAUUCAAACCUCACCCAAGCAAGCUUGACAGGCCCGCCAUCUAUCUCGAGCAACCGAGUUUUCUGGCUUAACCGAAAUGGAAUGGGAAGGGCAAGAUGUCAACCUAAGAGCAAGAUUCAACUGUUGCUGGAGGAAGUACGAAUGAUUUUAUAUAUUUGAAAUGGUUUUUGACAAUUGUUCGUUGUUAUAUUAUACAGCAUUUUCUCCCAAAGAGUUGUUCCUCCAGGAGUAAUUUUGUAGCAUUAACAUACUCUUGGUCCUGGUAUCCUCUUCAUCAGGUUCCAUUUUGAUACUAGCAUGAUAGAGAGAGAGAGAGUGAGAGUGAGUGAGUGAACGGUCAGGAAGGAAAAGGGGAAGGAAAUUUCCAUUGUAGUGUCACCAGAUGGAGAUAGACAGCUAUUCAUAUUAGAGGGAUUACAUAACCUUGACUAUUUUACGACCGCAAAUAGAUCAUGUCCAGUCUAAACCCGCUAAUUUUGCACCUGAUUCCUACUGAAUUCGUGAGUUGCAAGGCUCGCCGUCUCAAUACCAGAUCUCGUAUCGGUACCAUCUUAUUAUAAUGUCUGUAUGCGGUACUAUACAAAAUAAUAAGGCAUACUGAGUGUCGAUAUAGUAUGAGACUACGUACCAAUUUAGUACCGGUAUGGUAUAGUAUGCUUGGUAUAACAAACCUUGGUGGGUUGACUCAAAUAUUGCCACCACUCAGUUCAUGCAAUCACAUGAUGCUUCUUGCAUGCAUACAAACCCCAAAAGGAACAGAGCACAUAUAAAUACGAUUCAGAAUUCUGUGUGAUUACAUAUAUUCUAAUGGAUAAUAUCUUCAAAUUAGACUUUCAAGAUUGAUUGCUCUACACAUACAACCUACUUCUUCAAGACAUAGGCAUAGUAUUGUGCCAUGGGAACCACAAAAGCAAACACCAGUAAGCCUCCAAUUACAAGGCUAAAUCGUCCCUAUUUCUCUUCAGUCUCUUCCCUAGUCUUGAAGUUGGAUUCACGCUUGUUUUCUUGGAACUUCGGUCCUCCAGGAUCUGGCAGCCCUUCAACGGCAGCAACUAGGCGUUUGGCAGUACUAAGCAUAGCUUCAUUGUACUUCUCCUCUGCAGCUAGCACUGCAAGAACAAAGGUGAAAAACUUAACUAUAACUUCAAUAGUGAGAAGAGACAUGUCAACUAGUAACUCAUUGUACUUUUCCAUCAAGUUGUUCUACUAUCUAUUCUCAGUUUUAAAGCAUGGAAAAUUGAAUGAUGGAUUUUCUAUCAAGAUAUAUGCAAUGGAGCUAUUACAUGCAAUACAAUUUGCUCGAUGAACAUGACUAAUAGCUAUCAUAGAUAUGGCAUGAACUUAAUUCAAAUCACAUUUCACAAACUCUAGCUUACAAGCAAGUGUUUUACAUAAAUGGCAGCAUUGGCCGGUGACAAUUUAGAAGUUCGAUAUUCAAAACAUCUCAGAAUAGGAGUAUUGGUUUAGAAACAUGCCAUAUGAAUGGUUCGUUCUUUAAAAUCAUGAACAGUAAAACAAUUUAAAAUAAGAUAAGAUGUGUUCAUGUUCAUUGUGCUACUUCUUCUGUCAACUUGUUUCCACUAAUUAUUUUCUGUUUAAACCAUGCAACAGCAAAAAAGAUUUCCAUCUAUAGAAAAACAAUAAAAGCUAUUACGAACAUUGACAACAUGCUCCACGACCAGAGAUGGGAAUCCAACGACCCUUGAUGAAAAGUAAGUGCAAUAAGAACUAAGAAGCAUGGUNNNNNNNNNNNNNNNNNNNNNNNNNNNNNNNNNNNNNNNNNNNNNNNNNNNNNNNNNNNNNNNNNNNNNNNNNNNNNNNNNNNNNNNNNNNNNNNNNNNNNNNNNNNNNNNNNNNNNNNNNNNNNNNNNNNNNNNNUGGGAGAGAGAGUCUAAGAGAGAGAGAAGAAAUAAAGAGAGAGAGAGGGCAAAGCCAACAAGGUCAUCAUCUUCAGGAAAGAAAGAGAGGGUGAGAGAGAAACAAAAGAGAGAGGGUGAGUGCAUACUUGUGUUCUUCGUCGAAGGUAGUGGCAAAAUCUAACCCUAGCCGAAUGCAAGAGAGAGGUAGAGAGUGAUCAACAGGCAAGGCGACCCAAGGCCAGAUCACAUCUUACUCUAUGUUGUUGGCAAGAUUAUCCCCCAUAGAGAUAUAAGAAUAAAACUAUCAUUAAACCAACUUGUAUGUAUAGAUGUACUUAAUGCAGAUACUUUGGUUCAUGGCAUACAUUUAUUGUAAUUGAUCUUAUAAUAUAACAUGCAGAUUUUUUUGCUUUCUUGCAGGCAACAAAUUUGAGAGAUAUAUUCCUCUGGUCGAUUUCUUCAGUCAAGAACUUUACACGUUUGAUAUAGGCCAAAAUAGCCUUGCUGCACUCUUUUCCAAAACAGAGGACCAAGUUAUUGCUUCUAUCCUGAAUAUACUGUUGGAGUUUCAAAUUGGACUUAAGGUUUCAAGGAGUUCCACUUAAAUUAAUUCAAUGUUUGUUAAGUAAUUUUACAAAAUGAUUAAUGAGAGAUGCAAGUAUUUUGAUAGGGUAUAUAUAUCCUCCAUAAUGCAACCUUCUGCUGACACAUAAGAUCAAAAAUUAAUAACUAAAUGGUAGAUUAUUUUUAUUUCUCAAAAUAAGCAGUUCUAGUUACAUAACAUAGCUAGACAUCAUAUCCUAAUUUUUUUUUAAUAUCCGCAUAGGCAUAAAUGAGCUAUUUCUUCUUCACUCCUAAAUAAAUGAUGGGUGAUCUUCAAAUCUAAAUUCUCACCAUUUCAAGUUAGGUGGAAAAAUAUACGAUUCUAUCCACAGCUAUACUAAAAUUACAUUCUGCUUAUGAAACAGACUAAUUAAUAUUUUGAAGUGCUUCAAAAUUAUGUUGUUUGUGACAACACUUUCUUUUAUCACUAUAGUGAAUUCUGCAAAAAAUAACACUUUCUUUGAUCCCUAAAGAGAAUAUGUUUAAAAUAACCAAUACCAAUAUGGAGACCUCAAAUACUAUAUCUUAUUGCUCAAGUAAUAGUUUUGAUACAAAAGCUCCCGCCACAGUAAUUCAUGAUCUUGCACUUCAGAUUUACAUGUCCCACAACAUGAUAUGCCACCUUACUAAGGGAUGGAACAACUUUAAAGGAAGAAAAUAUAAAAUAAGCUGAAGAGUAAAAGGGAUCCGCUACAAUAACUUAGGCAUAACUCUUACGUGAUGAAAUUUUCUGUCUGCUCAUCUUUCUUAGGAAAAUACACUUCUCUCAUUGAAUGACUGCAUGCAUUAGCAUCAUCCAAAAGGUUAUCCAUAUCUCGAGUUCGACAAGUUGCAGGAUUGCAGUAUGAAGUAUAAGGACUUCUGCAAGGACUGCAGCUACCAACGGAGGAUGAAACACUAUGGGCAUCAUUAAGUUCUCUUGGUGCAUCAGCAAAGCCAUUUUCUGCAUGACUCGAGGAACCAUGCUUGUGUUCAGACAAGUAGAUGCGUCGCCUUUUCCUCUGACCAUCCACAAAACCACAGUAAUCAUUAUAUGGAGCCUGCCUUUCUACUUCAUGGUUUUUCCCCUUUCGAGAAGGAUGAAGUACAUGAGUGUUGAACUCUUCUUCCACUACAAUUUUGACCAAGUUUCCAUCCUCAAAUCUAGCAACAUCCUACCAUCAGGCAAUGAGAACAUCAGUAAUAACAAAAGACCAACUAACAAAAAAAGCUUUUUAGAUAGCGCUGCAGAUGAAAAUAAUGAAUAUAAAUCGAUUAAAAGCUACUAAAUAAGAGGAGAUAUAGCCGUUACCUUCUGAAUUAUAACCCAAUGGUUGUCUUUCCAAGCUUGCCGCACCCUAAGUUCAGAUUUAUGGGCUAUGAUAUGCUUAGAGGAUCCAAGAAUUGUAACAAAAUAAUAGUCCCUCGUAGCCCGAUUCGAGACCUGUGCAAGCUUCCAUGAGUGAUCCUUUAGUGCUUCUACAGUGUCACCAGGAGACCAAUACAUCAUUCCAUCCAUUGAUGGAGGCAAUGGCCUGAUGACCUUUCUCAGCACCCUUUCAGCGACCUCAGCCAUGCCUGGUUGAUGACCAUCAUACUUGACAAUAUAUGUGCACCCAUUCCCGGAGAUGAUCUCAGCUAGCCGCCAUGAUUCACUCCUGCUCAAUACCUCCACCUUAAGCCCUUUCUUCAGUCUCAAGAUCGCCAUGUCGAUAUCAAGAACCAAAGCCUCAGACCCUGAUUCAGAAGAGAUGAAAGUUUAGUCACCGGGAGCAUGGGAAGUUGAUUACAAAGAUUGCGGCAGGUGUAAAACUAAGCUAGAAUAUGAAUUCAGGAAAAGCUUGAGAGCAAGAAUUUCAAGAAGUCAAGAAAACCUUAAAAAUAAGAAAUUAAAUCGAGCAACUACUAAAAAGAAGUAGAGGUCUGACAGAGUUUUGAUAAUCGAGCGAACGGAUGACUAUAGAAAUUGAUCCAAUGAAACAUUUGAUACCAAGAAAUAGGUAUAAGAGUUUCAAGUUUUACAUCUAAUCAAGACUGGAAGAUAAAACUCUGUAAAAAAAGGAAAACAUGAUAAGAUGCUUUGCUAGGCUUGCAAUCACCUAAAAUUCUACGAUGGCGUUAGCCAGAAGGAGAUAAAAAAUCUCUAGAUAUAAUCAAAAAAAACAACAGCCAUGAAUAACCAAUGCUAUCAUCAAACUCAUGGAUGGGAUUCCAAGAUUGAACAAGAACACAUGGGAUUGAACAGAACGGCUACUCAAUCAUAAUGCGUAAGAAAAAAAAUUCACUAACCUCUUGAUAUUGCAACCAAAGGGAGAUUGAUCACAGGGGAAGAAUAUAGUGAUAUUUUCUCCUCCUUUUAUCAACCUUUUUGUUUCUUCCAACUUUCUUGGUGGGGCGGAGGACGGCAAUUGGGAAGUUUAUAUAUCUUGUACACAACUUCGCGUUUCCGAGUCCUAGACGGAAUAGGAAAAUAGGAGCUUUAAUCUAAGCCGUCUGAUCUGCUACAUCUGAAACUAUCAGCGUUAAAUAGAUUUAGAGAUCGGACUAGAAAGAUGGUUAUCUUUUAGUGACAGGAUAAAGUGGGUUCGGAUUAGUGUGUGUGUGUGCAUGGGUAGUGCCUUCGCUCACGCGCGCGUACGUUAUCCAUUCUAACGAACAUUUGGGAUGGGCUUAGGGUGUUGGGAAUUUUGACACCCAAAAACAAAGAGAGAAACUUAUACUGAACCCUUAGACUUUGCUACUUAGUGCCUAGGCAUGGCUAAGUAAUAUGAAAAAUAUUAUUAACAAAAAUAAUUUUUUUAAAAAAAUUAUCUUAAAAUUCAUGCUAAAUUGAUUGGUGAGUCAACAUACAUCUAUUUAUUAAGGGUGCGGGGAUACACUAUUUAUUACGUUAAAAAUCAAUACCCUGCUACUUCCUCUUCUUUGUCAUCUCUAUGUCUCAGGACACCAGACCAUAGAAGACAACCCUAAGCCAGCUACCAGUGGCAAGUCAAGCAUGGUUUCUAUCUCUCCAUCUCCCAUGAACCCCUACUCUCUUCCCUCCUCUCUCUCUCUCUCCUCCUUUCCUCUUAUCUCUAUAUAUCUCUCUUCCUUUCUCUUCAUCUCUCUAUCAUUCUCUCUCUCCAAUCAGGUUUCUCUCUUGUGGACCUAGGGGAGACUACAGGCACACCUUACUCAAGGUAUGGACUUACACCUAAGGUAGCCACAAGCCUUAAAAUAUUUUUGGGUCAAAGGAUAGAUGGCACCCUAGGGACUAGGCUAGGUAAGGAGCACACACCAGGUUCUUGGCUUCUGGUUGGCAGAUUUGGGUCACACAACCCUUGACCUUGAUGGCUCUUACAUUGUGGAGUCCUGAGUGGGAUUGACAAACUAUUGAUUGGGUAUUUUUUAGGUCGCACGCAGCCUGGUUCAAGAUUUCUGUAUUUCUAAGUUAAGUUAUAAGCACUUCUAACUCUAGCAUUUUUGUAAUGAUUUUGUAGAAAUAUGAUUUGUAUGAAAUAACUUAGGAAAAUGUUUGCUUAUAUUUUUAGAAAAAUUAUGAAAGUUAAUGUUGUCUUUACACAUAUUGUUGAUAGACAAUUUAAUUUAUUUGAAAUGAAAAUUAUGAAAAAUUAUUUAUGGAUAACUAUACUUAUUAUGUUUAUAGUAAUUAUUGUUCCUUCUUCCAUGGAAAUAUUUUUAAAUUACGGUUCAAGUAUAAAAUGCCUUACUUGAGCAUGACACUAAGUGCUACUUCAUCGAGUUACGUGUUGGUCUGUUUUGACGCGACUAUACUCUAUAAAAUGGUUGAUCGAUUAUUUGCAAACACCAUGACUUUUGGAUUGUCUAUGCUAUGGAAUUAUGGGUAUUGUAUGGAUUGCUUUCUAGUUUGAUCAUAAUUUGAGCCUAGCCUAUGAGGCUGAUUGUUGGCCACACAUGAUUCGGGAGCUUGUUUGUUUUAGGGCCUAGCAAGGUGGGGCCGAUCGUUGGUAUGUACUAUGAUGGGUAUAUUUUCUGUGCGACUUAGACCUAGUCUCCUUUCGGGCAUGGCAAGUCAGGGUUGAUUGCUAGUAUGUGUAGAUUGAGAGCAUGCUUUAUGUUCAGAAUAUAGUCUCUUUUAGUCACAAAGACUAAGCAAGAGUGGAUGGAUUUUAUCUUUUUUAAUUAGACAUCUAUUUCUUGAUUAGAUGCAUUAAGUAUUUUAAUAAUUACAUUGAUAUGCAUACUUUUAUAAAAAAAUUAUUCUAUGUUGAUAAGGAGUUUUAUUCAUAGAUGAAAGUUUUAUACCAUAAUUGGAAGUAAAAGGUGGCUUAUUGGGAUUUAGCUCACUCAUCUUUUUUUGAUAUAUCUUUGUAGAUGCUGGUGAGUAGCUAAGAUGGGAUCCAAGUGCUGAGUAGAGAGAAAAUUAGGAUUUAGUUAAUUUUCUAUAUAUCAUACUUGAAUAAACGAAUUGAUAAGAUAGUUCAAAGGUUUUCCUUAUUUUAUAAGCUAUUAAGACUAUUGGAAUUAGAGUAAAUUAUAAAAAUCUUUCUAUGUUUAAAAGUAAAUUACACUUAAAUGUAUGUGAAAAGGUAAGCCUUGCAUGUCCUAUAGGGAUAAAACCCCGUAGAUGUGCAGCAAUCUACAAAGUGCCAGGCUCGUGCAACAAGGUCGGGGUAUGACACAAGAUUUUCUUAGCUAAUUUUUAAUUUCAAGUCAGAAUCAAAUUGAUUUUAACUAGAGUGGGGACCUUUUUUUUUCUUUUCCAAGAUUGGGGAGGCCCCUUCCACCUGCCUAAGAUGGAAGUGUAAGAUUUCUCAUUGCAAUAUAACUUUGAAAAAAAACUAAAGAGCAUAUACUAUCACUAGAUUGCUUGCCGUCGAUCCAUGAAUGAACCUAAGCCAUGGGUGUUACCCACCUAUGUCCUUCACUAGUUGACCUUGGUGGGUUGGCCAAUAUUGUGACCGUGAUGCUCAUCUUUGGUCUGAACUCUUUGUUGUAAAAUAUCAAUGCUUGAACCAUCUACAUGCAAGUCAGGUUUUGCCAUUUGAAGAUAUAUCUUGAUCAAAGAUGGUGGGACCUUUCAUCUUGAACCAUUGAAGAAUGCCUAGAACCUGAAAGCUCCAAACUCUCAUCAGGAGCCUUGUGGAAAUAAUACUCAUCUGCACACUGAUAUAAGAAUAAAACAUUCAUUAAACCAGCAUGUACAUAUAGAUGUACUUAAUACUGAUACUUAGGUUCACAACAUACAUUUAUUGUAACUGAUCUUGUAAUAUAAGAUGCAAAUUUUUUGCUUUCUUACAGGCAACAAAUUCAAGAGAUAUAUUCCUAAGAUCGAUUUCUUUCAGUCAAGGACCUUUCAUGUUUGAUAUAGGGCAAAAUGACACAGAUGCAUUCUUUUACAAAACAGAGGACCAUGCUAUUGCCUAUAUCCCGAACGUAUUGUUGGUGUUUCAAACUAGACUUACACCACUUAGAUUCAAUGUUUAUCAAGUAAUUUUACAAAAUGAUUUGCAAGAGAAGUGCAAUUAUUUUGAAUGAGUACAUGUAUCCUCCAUAUUAGAUCACAAAUAGAUAAGUAAAUGGUUGACUUCUUUGUGCAUUAUGCACGCUGAUUUCUCAAAAUAAGCAAUUCUAGUUACAUUACUCUUCUAGCUAGACUACAUAACCUAUUUUCUAUUUUAAUAUUAGCAUCGAAGUAAAUAAGUUAUUUCUUCAAUUGUAAAAAAUGGAAGGGUGAUCUUCAAAUCAGAAUUCUCACCAUUUCAAGUUCGGUGGAAAAAUAUAUGAUUCUGUCCACUGCUAUACUAAAAUUACAGCGUGCCAAUAAAAUAGACUAACACUAUAAUUAUUCUAUCCACAGCUAUACUGAACUCAUCAAUUCCACUGAUGCUAAAGUUUUUGAUAGUUAUGGCUCCUCCUUUUUUUAAGCACUUGGGCAUGCAUUAAUGGCUAUUAAUUUUUUAAUUUUUUUAAACUUAAGCCUAGGCUACUAUGCACAAGAUUGCAUCAAAACUUGAAUGAAUGGACACCAAAUUUUUUUAAAGAUUAUCUAGCAUUCUCCUAAAUAUAUUUCUAAUUUUCUAAUUUUAUUAUUUUUAUUUAUUUUAAAAAAUUCUUUUAUUUUUAAUUCAAAAUAUAUUUUUAAUUUAAAAAGUAUAUAUAAUUCAAAAGUAAAAAGAUUUUAUGUCAUUAUGUAGAUCGUUAUAGAUCUAUAAUAUAUAAUAAAAUCAAAUCCAAANNNNNNNNNNNNNNNNNNNNNNNNNNNNNNNNNNNNNNNNNNNNNNNNNNNNNCUCUGGCUCGAGUCCCACGUAUGAGUACGUCACACCCGGCACCACCCCGGCUACUAGCGGUUCAAGAGCGGUCCUACACCACAAGUCCAAGUAGUGGCCAAAGUAAUGAGCUUCGGUCCACAAUUUAAUCGUCGCCGCAGCGAUUCGAACUUGGAACCUUAUGGUUAGAAUUGCUGCCCAGUACCACUAGGCUACCACCUUGGUGGUAGGCUAUUUUUUCAAGUUUCAAAAAAAAAGAGAGAAUGAGAUAGCAAAAAUUAAGCACACCUUAUUUAGGCUUGGAUCUUCCUUCUAAACUACUAAAUUGAUGUGAUUUUUGAGUUAUCGAGAAGGAAGAGCGGCGAAAACCUCUCCGUCGCUUUCAAUUAUUGUUGGAAAGGAAAAGGCCUUCCCAACAACAAAUAAUGUCUGAGGACAAAUCAAAAGAGGGGGCCUGGUUCAGAACUGAGUCGAUUCAGUAUGAACCGACCAGUUCUUACUUAGUUUGAACAGAACCGGCCGGUUCUAGAUGAUUCCAGCCAAUUCUAGGUUGGUUCGCACCAGUUUCGGCUAGUUUAGGGUCGGAACCAAAAAAAUAAAUGCGAACCGAUUUGGUUUUGCACUGGGUUGGCUCGGUACUGUCCGAACCGAGCGGUUGGGCCUGGUUCGACAGACCAUGCUAUAGAGGAUCCUUUGACAAUCGAUCCAAAUAAUUUAUCCUUAUCUUUACCUCAGUCUUUUACCUUAGGAGUAGGUAUAACUUAGAUCAUCUACUAUCGUCCAGCAUUAUACUUUUACCAUAUCCCAAUGUUACACCCCUACCAUAGCCCAAUGCUACACACUUCUUCAGUAGCCUGGCUCUAUACCUCUAUCUAGUUCCAUAUCCAGUUCCAUCUCUUUCGAAUUGUAUUGUGACAGUGAAGAAAGUUCUUGAAGCUCAAGUUAUCUGACCCUAUGCUACUCUCUAUCCUUCUUUCGACCCAUAUCUUUCCAACUAGCCCAAUGCCGGAAGCACGUCCGUGCAUGUAUCCAGAUCUCACCCAGGCAAGAUUGACGACAUGCCUUCUGUCUCGACCAACCGAGUUUCCUGGCUUGGUUGGAACAAAAGGGGAAGGGCAAUAGUAGUGUCAACCUAAGAGCAAGAUUCAAGUGUUACGAAGGAAGUAAGGAUGAUCAUAUAUUUUUGAAAUGGUUUUUGACAAUUGUUCAUUGUUAUAUUAUACAGAAUUUUCUCACAAAGAGUUGUUCUUCCAGGAGUAAUUUUAUAGCAUUAACACGAUCUUUGUCCUGGCAUCCUCAUCAUUAGGUGCCACUUUGAUACUAGCAUGAUAGAGAGAGAGAGAGAGAGAAUGGUCGGGAAGGGAAAGGGGAAGGAAAUCUUCCAUUGUAGUGUCACCAGAUGGAGAUAGGCAGUUGUUCAUGUUUGAGGGAUUACAUGACCUUGACCAUUUUAUGACCACAAAUAGAUCCUGUCCAGUCUAAACCUGCUAAUUUUGCACCUGAUUCCUAUUGGAUUUGUGAGUUGCAAGGCUUGUCGUCUCAGUACCAAACCACGUAUCGGUACCAUCCUAUUAUAGCGUCUGUACGUGGUAUUGUACGAGAUGGUAAGGUAUACCGAGUGUUGAUAUGGUACAAAACUACAUACUAGUUUAGUACCGAUAUGGUGUGGUACACCUGGUACAACAAACCUUGGUGGGUUGGCUCAAAUAUUGCCACCACUCAGUUCAUAUAAUCACAUGAUGCUUCUUGCAUGCAUGCAAACCCUAAAAGGAAUAGAGCACAUAUAAAUAUGAUUCAGGAUUCUGUGUGAUUACAUAUAUUCUAAUGGAUAAUAUCUUCAAAUUAGAAUUUCAACACUGAUUGCUGUACACAUACAACCUACUUCUUCGAGACAUAGGCAUAGUAUUGUGCCAUGGGAACCACAAAAGCAAUCACUAGUAAGCCUCCAACUACAAGGCUAAAUUGUCCCCGUUUCUCUUCAGUCUCUUCCCUGGUCUUGAAGUUGGAUUCACGCUUGUUUUCUUGGAACUUCGGUCCUCCAGGAUCUGGCAACCCAUCAACAGCAGCAACUAGGCGUUUGGCAGUACUAAGCAUAGCUUCAUUGUACUUCUCCUCUGUAGCCAGCACUGCAAGAACAAAAGUGAAAAACUUAACUAUAACUUCAAUGGUGAGAAGAGACAUGUCAGCUAGUAACUCAUUGUACUUUUUCAUCAAGUUGUUCUACUGUCUAUUUUCAGUUUUAAAGCAUCGAACAACUGAAUGAUGGAUUUUCUAUCAAGAUAUAUGCAAUGGAGUUAUUACAUGCAAAACAAUUUGCUCGAUGAACAUGACUAAUAGCUAUCAUAGAUAUGGCAUGAAUUUAAUUCAAAUCACAUUUCACAAACUCUAGCUUACAAGCGAGUGUUUUACAUAAAUAACAGCGUUGGCUGGUAACAGUUUAGAAGUUUGAUAUUCAAAACAUCUCAGAAUAGGAGUAUUGAUUUAGAAAAAUGCCAUAUGAAUACUUCGUACUUUAAAAUCAUGAACAAUAAAAAAAUUUAAAAUAAGAUAAGAUGUGUUCAUGUUCAUUGUGUUACUUUUUCUGUCAACUUGUUUUCACUAAUUAUUUUCUGUUUAAACCAUGCAACAUCAAAAUAGAUUUCCUUCUAUAGAAAAAUAAUAAAAGCUAUUAUGAACAUUGACAACAUACUCCACGUCUAUGACUAAUCGCUAUUAUUGAUAGAGAAUGGAGUCAUAGUUUAGAAAUCAUGUUCUACAUCCUAUUAAUUAGCGUUGGUUGUUAUGUUUUACAUUCUCUAUUAAUGUGGAGUAAUAUAAAUAGAGAACACAGCAAUUGAAGACAUGAUAUGUGCAACUUCUGAAAAUAAGGGUAACGAUUUAGAACCAUGCACAUAAGAAUAUUCUCUGUCUAAAAUUUAUGCACAAACAAAUAAUGUCUAUCUCUAUAUGCAUCAGAUCUUUCUGGAUAGUGUAGCAUCUUUGUUAGGUGCACCAGGUAUUGCCUCAAGCAAAUAAAUUCUAAAGUAUCAAAAGCUCAUGCAAGCUAAAUAUACUAGGAAGAUAUCGAACAAUAUUCUCAUGUAGAGAGUGAAAUGCAACGACCCUUGAUGAAAAGUAGUGCAAUAAGAACUAAGAAGCAUUGUACCAAAAAAAAAGAGAGAGAGCAGAAAAAAUCAUUAUGCUUUGGGUUAUCGGACAAAAACUGAAAAUGUUAAUAUUAUUUUUGAAUUGUCAACAAUACUAAUAUUGCUUUCCUAUCAUUAUAUUUAAGUGUGUCUAGGACUUUUUUUUUUGAGAGAGUGAGAGAUUAGGAAAGGCCUAAUCACUUUCAUUAAGCAUAUGAAAGCGCAAAUAUAGGAAACAAAACAGCAAGAAACAAAAGUAACAAUAAAGAAAAUAUAUAAGGAGAAAACAGAGGAAUUCAGACAAUAUGCUUAAGAAGAAUUGUAUGGUAAUGCCAUAGAAUAGAUGUCAUGCAUUUACCAUUUGACAUCCAGGAUUUAUAGUUAUAUCAGAAUUUUGCUUAACACGUUAAGACAAAUAAGCGUCUAGGUUUGCAUUGGGGUGUUGGACAUGCUGUGGUGGGAUAUAGCAUAGAUAACGCUAUGGUGGCACCAAUUAAUUGCUUUCAAGCAUGGAGGGUAUGCUGAUAGAGGGAGAUGCUAUUCAUAUCAUUCAUCUAAGUAAAUGAAGCUUAUCAAACAUAAAGUGCAUUAAUUUUAAAUGACUGAUAUUAUGGUCUGGUACUCUAAAUUAGCAGCUAUUUUCGUGGUUGAACAGCUUGCAAGAAUGUACCCAAGUAAAACCUAUUAUUUACAGCCCUUGCAAUACUAGAUCAAAUGAUAAAGUUUUUAUUAGGGCAUGAUGAUUUUUUUUUUUUGAAGAUGUUGUGCACUGUGAGCAAUCCUUCAUAUUACUUCUCUUAACAUUGAGUAAUGAGUUUUAAAUAAUGUUGAAGUAUUUAGUUCAUGGCUUCUAGUAUGUAAUUAUAGAGUACGAUGGAAAGUGAAGAAACAAUUGCAUCUAAGAGAAUACAAAUGCAUGGAAGUAUACCAGGUUCAGUGAAUGGGUUGUGGGCCCGUGGCCAAGAAAUUUCAAAUUGCAGAUGCAUGAAGGUAAAAACUUUCAAGAUAAAGAUGCAAGAGAAGAAUUAAGUUUGCUAAUACAUUUCAUGGGCGAAUGUGGAGCACAAGACCUUGUUUCCACUGCUCUGAAUGAAAGAUUGCCACCUCAGAUAUAGUUUCCACUCACUUUUCAGUGAUAUAAAGAAAGAGCCCCCAACUAGCUUUAGAGAACAUCUAAAAUAAGAGCUCCAGAGGAUAGAAAGAAAGCAGAAAAAGCUUUAGAGAGGGGUCUAAUCCAGUAAAUGUCCAUGGCCUUCUAAUGGACUCCAAUAGAUGAUGGAUCACUACCCCACAAUGCCCCUUUCACUAAAACUAUAACAAAGUGCCAAUAUGCAUUCUACAUAAAAACCACCUCUAUAAAACACAUAUGACACUUAAGUUUACCACAUACAAAUCUCAACUGAUUUGAAUAGGUCUUACAUUAAAAAGGAUGGACAAGGGGCUAUAUUCUCUCCCUAUCAUGCCACCACUAAAAUCGGCCAUAUUUUCUUAUAACGCCCUUUCAUCAGGACUAUUUGAAGAUAAUUCUCGAGGAAGUUAGGAGUUAGAAGAUUGUUGCCUACUUUUAAAUCUCUUUGGUGCUUUUGGAGAUCUCAGCAUGAACUAGCAAAUUAGUAAUCAAUGUGGGACCAGGUUGUCCUAGCCUCUCUUGGAUCUGCUAAAUUGAGAGGAACACUCCAAUGUUUAGUAGCAAAUAUAGGAAGGUUGGUGACUAUAUGAGAGCUGCCAUUAGAUUCUUCACUCUAUGGAAUUGAUGGUAAAGCAAAAGCAUGCAUCUGGUUUUGUAAUUAUCUUGUUGUAGCAUUGUUGAUAGGUGCUCUACCCACAGUUCAUUUUGUUCUUCUCAUUAUCCUAAAUUCUCAACAAAGUAGUUGGAUCUUGCCUCCCUCCUGUUUUUUGGUAAGAAUUUCACUCCCUAUUUAAAGAAAAAGGAGGUGUAGGGAGUCUAAAGCUCUCACUCCCCCAUUAGAUUAAUAACUACAUAUGAUACUGGCACACCAUGCGAUAUCAUCAUAGUUAAGAAACCAACAAGGUCAUACUUCGCCAAUCUCACUAUAUCUAUCAAAGUUAAGAAACCAUCAAGGAUUUUAUUUCUCAAUCUCCAUAGGAUAUCUUCCUAUUUCUUAAAGGAAUUUGUGAAAUUAAUUUCUUCAAUUCCUUAUCCCUAAUUUUAGUAACAAUUAUUUCUUCAAUCUCAUUAGGAUUCAUUUUGCACCCCAAUUCUCAAAUUACUUUCUUAAUUCUCUAAUUCUUAGUUUGCCCUAGCCGCUUGACUUCGUGAGAAAGUCUCCAUUAAGCCAUUUUCUUAUAAACCCCUCUUCUUUGUUUCACAUUUGGUAUCUGUGUCAUCACCUAGAUCCCUUUAGUUACCAUUCUAUAUGCAACCAAAUAAUCCAUCCAUUUCCCAACUAUGUUUAGUGUACUAAACAAUGUAGGAUGAGUCCCAUCAAACUAACAAUUUUUCCUAUAUUAUAGCACACUUCAAAAUGUAGUUGACAUGAGAACACAAGUUUAUGUUCAGAUUAUAACAUUUGAGCGUCUUUUAUUUGUAAUAAAUUAUCGUACCUUAAGAGAAAUAUUUAGACUUGCGUCCAUUAAACAUAGAAUGCUUUCAAGUACAAACUGCUCAACUAUUUCAAACUUUUAAAUAAAAGAAAAUUGCUUUUCAUGAAGUCUUGAUAAUUGUAGUGCUAGUAUUCCUCGCCGUCAUGAUUUAAGCUCCUAUUGACAAGAAAAUCCUGCAAUUCAUCCAAGAAGUGUAUUGUUAAUGUACAUAAUGCUUUCCGUCAAAGUUCACUGAACCAAUACCGGCAAUCGUACCAGCUAGUGACAGGAGAGAAAGAUAGAGAGGAGAAAGAGAGAGAGGGGCGAAAGCCACCAAGAUCAUCAUCAUCUUUGGGAGAGAGAGAGUCUAAGAGAGAGAGAGAGGAUAGAAGUACAACAGUGGUCAUCAUCUUCAAGGAAAGAGAGAGAGGAGGUNNNNNNNNNNNNNNNNNNNNNNNNNNNNNNNNNNNNNNNNNNNNNNNNNNNNNNNNNNNNNNNNNNNNNNNNNNNNNNNNNNNNNNNNNNNNNNNNNNNNNNNNNNNNNNNNNNNNNNNNNNNNNNNNNNNNNNNNNNNNNNNNNNNNNNNNNNNNNNNNNNNNNNNNNNNNNNNNNNNNNNNNNNNNNNNNNNNNNNNNNNNNNNNNNNNNNNNNNNNNNNNNNNNNNNNNNNNNNNNNNNNNNNNNNNNNNNNNNNNNNNNNNNNNNNNNNNNNNNNNNNNNNNNNNNNNNNNNNNNNNNNNNNNNNNNNNNNNNNNNNNNNNNNNNNNNNNNNNNNNNNNNNNNNNNNNNNNNNNNNNNNNNNNNNNNNNNNNNNNNNNNNNNNNNNNNNNNNNNNNNNNNNNNNNNNNNNNNNNNNNNNNNNNNNNNNNNNNNNNNNNNNNNNNNNNNNNNNNNNNNNNNNNNNNNNNNNNNNNNNNNNNNNNNNNNNNNNNNNNNNNNNNNNNNNNNNNNNNNNNNNNNNNNNNNNNNNNNNNNNNNNNNNNNNNNNNNNNNNNNNNNNNNNNNNNNNNNNNNNNNNNNNNNNNNNNNNNNNNNNNNNNNNNNNNNNNNNNNNNNNNNNNNNNNNNNNNNNNNNNNNNNNNNNNNNNNNNNNNNNNNNNNNNNNNNNNNNNNNNNNNNNNNNNNNNNNNNNNNNNNNNNNNNNNNNNNNNNNNNNNNNNNNNNNNNNNNNNNNNNNNNNNNNNNNNNNNNNNNNNNNNNNNNNNNNNNNNNNNNNNNNNNNNNNNNNNNNNNNNNNNNNNNNNNNNNNNNNNNNNNNNNNNNNNNNNNNNNNNNNNNNNNNNNNNNNNNNNNNNNNNNNNNNNNNNNNNNNNCCAUUGGCCCGGAGCCUUAGGCGACCGCCUCAGUCGCCUAAGGCUCGGGCCGGCCCUGAGAGAGGGUGAAGUGCAUACUUGUGUUCAUUGUUGAAGGCGGUGACAAAACCUAACCCUAGCCGGAUGCAAGUGGGAGGUAAAGAGUGAUCAAAAGGCAAGGCAACCCAAGGCCAAGUCGUGAGAGGAGGGCGUGUUACAAAGAUAACAAACCGCCCUAACACCUUGAACCAAGUAGAACCAAGCAUUACCCGGUGGUUCUCUUCAAUUCGAUUGGUUCAGGCUGGUUUGAGGCCUAUUCUAAAGCAAACUUGCAUCGCAAUCUGGUUUCUGCUUUUGUUAUUUCAAAGUAAUCUUAGGCUUAAGUAUCACAUGUUGCAUUAGUCUUCUGUUAGUGUAAAUGUUAUAGAAUUGACCCUUAAUCACUAGAUGCUUGUAACUUCAAACUUCUUAAUUAUGAGCUGCAAUGUUUCCACUAAAACCAAAAUCGGUUUUUGUUGAGUCAUAGUUGGUUGUAGCUUUGAUCCCUGAACUCUUAAAGCUCUAAGCACUAAUGCACAUGUGAGUCCUCUUAAGUCAAAAAACCAACCUAUUCCAUGCCUGAGCACUACUUUUCAUCCAUAUUUUUUUAUCAUCUAGUUUUUAAAAGCAUAGCCUGAAUCAGAGCAGUCUAUAAUGAUGUUUGCAAGCAAAUAUUGGAAGUAUCCAUAGCACCAAAUGCUUCAAAUUUCAUACUUGAUUAGCAACUACAACCUCCUCAAUGGGGCAAAAGAUGCUUCUCUAGUCUUAAUUUUUUGACUUUGACCUUUCUUUGCACAACAUUCCAAGCUCUUUGUGGAAUGAGAAUCCUGAUGAGUGAUGAUGCUGAGAUGAUUUGUAGGGAGAGACAUUGGGAUGAAACAUGAAAACAAAUAAUGAGUGUACCUAUCAGAAAAAGUUUAAAAUCUAGUACAAAAAUCAACUAUGGACUAUGCAGUCACUGUGCAUAUUGAUUUUGAAUCUAUAAAGUGUAUAUGCUUUAGGCUCUGAGUUCAACUUAAGUUUGUCUUGGUUUCAAUUCAGAACUGUACAGUAGAUGGCGGAUUUAGGUGGUAUAGUGUAAUGUGGGAACUCAGUUUUGUAAGUGCAAAGGGUUGAGCUUUGCAAGUUUAAGAGCUUAGAAAUCACUGUUAAUUCAAUCAAUAGCCAUCAAGGUUUCACAAGUUGACACGUUAAGGUCUAGGUAUCAAAUUUAACAGCUGGUUGCAUGUGAUUUUGGGUUCAGGUUAUGAGCAACUUCCUGCACAAAGUGCCACUCCCUCAAAAAAUCAGCAUCUGAUUUAUAAUCUGGUAGGUUAAAAUCAUUUGUUUAUUGUUAUCGAAAAAGUAUAACAAUAAAACAAGUGCCUUACCUGGAAGGUUUUCAGAUACAGUAGCAUCAAGAAUAGUAUCUCCAACAGCUUGGAUGAAUGCAGGUCCACCUGUGAUUGCUCCUUCUUUUUGACUGGUAACCAGGAUAACUAUUCCCUUGUUAUUACCUUCUUCAAUUGUGGGGUACCAUUUCUCCAACACCUGAUCAGCAUACUCAAAAGCAUCUGCUUUGCUCUGCAAUCAAAUUUACCAAUUCUUAUCAAAUUUAUAAAACUAAAAAUCUCACUCUCCUUUUGAUAAAGAAAAAUGGCUAGAAGUUUGAUGGGUUGACAACCACAAAAUUUCAGAAAAUGGAAACCCUUUUAAAGCUCACCAAUAAAUAAUUAAAUGGAAGUUUAUAAAGCUAGUAUUAUUUUCAUUAUAUGUCUUUGGUUUUUCAGUUAAAUUUCAGUGUCAUUAAGAUAUAUAAGAACUGCCAUAAAAAAUCGGGAGUCAUGGCCUGAUUGUAAUGUGAUGCUGUACUUGGAAUGCAGUGGAGAUCCCUGACAACAACUUGGGAUUCUGGCAUUGAAGAGUUGAGCUAGUCUUGCAGCACAUUUCUUCUUUUCCUCAUCAUAACUUCAUAAUCAACAAAAUAGCAUUACUUCAAGACAUUGGUGAUGAAGAAGCUAUUCAGAGAUAUAGAAUUUCUGUUAAAUAUAUUUCAUAAAAUUAUCAGCACUCUGAUCUGCUGCUCAAGAAUUGAUGUGUCCAGGGAUUAAUAUUUUGAAAGAGCCAGAAAGAGAUCAUAAGGACUAGAUAGAAUAACCUAAACAGCAGGUACAAUAUAUUCUACAGUACUGUAAAAGACAUUCAGGAGUAACUAGGGCUAGCUGAGGUACAUGAUGGUCUAACACUCACCCCUACCCAUCUGUUUUGCCACCUUAAGCUGGAAGGGCAAGCCACAUUUAGAGUUCCUUCUCACAGCAAAACUGGGCUUCCACCUAAGCUAAUUAGUUCUAUAGGCCUCUUCCCUUCGCCCCUACCACUCAUCAAUUUCUACUAACGACACAUUCAUUAAGGACUUGAAUAUGGGAAGCAGCUAGCUACACACCUAAUUUCAGAUAAGUCACCACCACUCAUGUUUGAACCAGAGAUCUCUCGCCGAGAUGGGCGCCGACUAGCUGAGCUACCAGCAAGUAUACAACCAAUUUCAGAGUCUACCAGAGAAGGUAAAAAAAUUGAAAAAACAUUCACAAAAGCUUCAAAUCGAGAAUGCUUAGGUCAGCAGAAAUCAGACAUCAUAGCAAUGUUGGACACCAAGUUGAUAAGAAAUUGGUGCAAAAAUUAGUUCAUGUCAACUGUCCAAAUACCUUCCAACAAGAAAUUUUUAUUGCUCUCGAAUGUGCAGAUCAUCAAACAGUAGCACCUGAUAAUUAUAGCCAGUUUACACAAUAUCAAGGGUUCCUUUUAAAAUGGGAAAAAAAAAAUCUAUGUGAGAGUAGACAAAACAAACUUAACAAGUUCUGUUGUUGCAAGUUGUAAAAUAUCAAGAGUAAGAAUGAAGGGAUUUCGCUGCAGUACUUCACAUAUGUAAAAUGAAGACUGCCAUUAGUGAUGAUUAGAAUGGAUACAUACUGUAAGCUUGCGAAGUGUGAUGAAAUUGAUAUGUAGAUUCUUCCUCGACUCCAAAUCGGAUAGGAGCUGCUUCAGAUCAGAUUUGGUGACUCGGCUUAGUACACCCGCAUCAUCAACAACAUAUGAUUCUGUCGGUGGGCCGUCAUUGAGCACGUCAAACUCUGACGCAAUCGCCGGGGAGUCAAGGGAUGGAACUGGGCAGAAGUUGAUGGCCAGCGAGAGGGCAGCGGCGGCCAGUCCAUGGUGGAGGUGGGAGAUCCAGCUCUUUUGGGUGGGAGGUGGAGAAGAUGUCUUUCUAAGGCCUGAAGUGAUGGACUUGGUGGGUGUUAAAGAAGCUUGGAGCUGUUGAGAGGGGGACUUGAAGAGAAGGGGUUUGGGAUUGAGAAGUGGAGUGGAGGAGGGAGAGAAGAUGGUUUCCAUUAAGAAGAAGGAGAAAGGAUGAGGAAAUGGAGGGAAAGGCGGAUAAAAUCAGAGAGCCAUUUUUACGCUUUUUUGGAUUUCCCCUGUUUCUCACUUUCUGUUGGAUUAGAUUUGGAUUUUGAUUGGGUGGCUGGUUUCAAAUUCGGAUAAGGCGUAACGGUCUUCAAACGGCUCCUUUCCAGCCUUCGUGGUGAUGGGAACAGACUAAGGGUAUAUUCGUCUUUUAAGUUUUAAUUGCAUGGUAUCGCUCCGUCAUUAGUUUCAUACCAUCGCCCGUUCAGCUCAACUGGAAGACGGAAAUGCCCUCGGACAUCAAUAAAAUAACGAUAGUACCCUCGUCCGUCUUUUUAACGUCUAUCGGCGUCCGCUCCCAAACUUUUCCUCACCAUGGAAGAGGCCAUCGUUAUCUGCUCUCCAUGGCCGUUCAUCUCCUCCUCACUUCCCCUCCAAAACCACCUCCUCAAAACCCUAACUCUAACCCUAACCCUAAAUUUGGCCCUAAAUCUUUUCCAAGGUCAAUAUCUAGGAGGGAAGUCAGCAUUCAAGCCUUAACCAUGUCUAUCGUAUCUUUAACUUCAUGGGUUUCUGUUCCAUUUGCGCUAUCGGCCUCUCUGGAGACCGCCACUCCUCCUCGAAAGCCAUCACUAUCUGGGAUUUCAAACACCAAGUCUUGGAAUCAGUUCUUCGGGGAUGGCUUUUCCAUUCGUGUUCCACCUCUUUUCGACGAUAUUAUGGAGCCGGAGGUAUAAACAUAAAGAAAUUAAAAGCUCUUGUAACCAUGUAUGUCUUUCUAGUCUCUAUGCCAAUGCAAUUAUAUUACUAUUUCAGUUGGUUUUAUUCUGGUCGUAUGGCAUUUGAUGAAAUGCUCCGUAAAGUAAAGUGAACUAACAUGUUGUAAGGUCAUGAGAUAAUAUGUCAAAAAUAUGCUUUUGUGACUUGUGUGGGAUUUUUCAGCUGAUCUUUGUUCUCAUGAGUCGUCUAUAGAAAUCCUUUCUGAUGUCUGGAAUUCAUAAAUUCCUGAACUUUUAGCAUGUUCUGUUCACUUUUGUGCUUUUAGGACUACAAAGCUGGAUUGUCAUAUUAUGGUGAUAAAGCAAAACCGAAGGCAUUUGCGGCUCGUUUUGCAUCUCCAGACAGGUUUGUAAGCCUGUGCUUUAGAUAUCUUUUUUUCCCCCUGGUCGAGAAUGGAGUGAUACGAGACAUGUAUCUUCCUGGAUAACUUAAAGUUCCCAAUUCUUUUUUUUUUCGAUAAGAAACAUAAAUUUCCUGAUUCGUUAUUUAUAUAUUAGAGAGUGCUUCCUCUGCCUUAUUCAAAUAGGAAUUAUGCCUCAUCCACUUAUUAUGGAUUCUCAGCAUGAUUGGACUAUUUUUAACAGUUAGAUUGCUUUUGGAUUAAAAACACUGAUUUGAAUUUAGGGUGCCUGAAAAGCUCUGGUCAUUAAAAAACCAAAGCAAAAUGGGAGGUGUUAUUUAUAUCAAAUAAUAUUAGACAAUCAUUGAUAUAUCAUGUAUCUCGCUCUUAAGGAAUAUUUUCCUUCCUUCAAAAGGUCAAGCUUGUGAUCCUAUGAAAUUGAAAAUUUUAGGGGAAUUAGAUCCUUGAUGUUGAGCUAACAAUAUGGAGAUAACUGCAGAGAGGCAUUACUGGAAGCAUUAUUCCUGGACUUCUUCAUAAAGAUAGAACCAGCAGAAGUGGAAAACAGAUCUAUGGAAUGUAACAGUGAUUGCUCUUCGGGAGCUUAACUUCAAAACCUGCAGUAGAUCAAGGUUUUAAAAACUCUAGUGUGGGCCCGCACUGGUCACUGGCUGGUCGAUGCAGUGCCUGUAUCAAUACAUGAUUCAGCCAGCACGGCCAGUACCCUGUAUCUAUAUGGGUUGGUACUAGUGGUACAUACCAGUCAGUACAUGACAUACCAACAGUACAUGAAUCCUUGCAGUAGAGUAUUUAAAUUGGACAUGACAAGUCCCUCUUAUCCCUUUAAUGGCAUGAAGAGGAUGACAUUUUAGGAAAAAUGAGAAAACAUUUCACUAUUCAUUAGAUUAAGAGUGUUGACUGUUGAUAAUAACUGUAACAACUAACAACAAUCAAACUAAUAUUGUUUACCUUCAGCACAUGAAGAACUCUUUAUUGUCAAUGCCAUGCUUGUGAGACUAUUUGACCAAUAAAAUGAGCUUUUUGCUGCCUAACAAACUAUAUGGAUGAGUUUGUAAAACAACUAGCAACUGAAAGAAAUCCUUUUCCCUUGAGAGGAAAAUCAAUUCUGAACUAUGGGUUUGCUAAAGUUUUUAAAACAAUUUUAGUAUGAUAAUUCACUACUACCAAUACUGAGGUGUCUUAUGACUUAAUUGAUUCAAGUUGAUAAAUACAAAUAGUUAGAAGAACAAAGUAUACAUUUUAUGCACAAAUUUGUGCCAAGAAUGAAAAAUAUACAUAUGCAAACAAGACAAAAUCAUGGAAUUGAUGUCUUCUACGAACAAGAGUGUAGGAUGCUUCCAACUCUUCCAAGAUAUACCAAACUAUAUUUUAGUGCAUUAAAAUAUUAUAAUUUUUUUCCUCUUUUCAUAGUUACUUGUUUAUUUAUUCUUAAAAAAGUAAAACCUGUCAUUCCAUGUACUUUAUUCUUUUUUCAGAGAACUGCACCUUAUUCUUGAGAAGGCAUGUGGUGUUAGCAAUAAGUAAAGAAUUACAAAUUCAUUUAUUGAUCAAACAUAUGAUGAAAUUUACUAGUUCAGUGCAUUUAUUUUCAUGUUUUGUUAUAUCCUUACUCAUGAUGUAGAUCAGAAGUUCUAAGUGUGGUGAUCCGGCCAUCCAAUCAGCUAAAGAUCAAUUUCUUAGAGGUUUGUGGAAUAAUUUCUUUUUUUGCCUGAUGUUGUUUAUCCAUUACUAUUGACCUGACAAAACGUCUCUUUAUUAAAAGAAAACACUUGUUCAAGAAAAAAAAAGCAUAUAUUUGCUAGAUCUCAAGGAGAAAAUGCAUAACAGGAAUAGUCUUAUGGGUUGUGUGGGAAAUUUGUAACCUUAUUGAAGGAGCUAUCCUAGGAUAUCACAUUGGUUGCAGUUUUCUUUUUAGAGGAUUCAUUGAUUCUUAUUUGAUAAUAAAAAGAUUUUUUAAAUUUUGGUUGUCAAAAAUAUAAAUCAGGAUAUUGUAUCACCAUGAACCAUGCCUUAGGCAUUUGUUCCAACUUCCAACUCAUAAGUCAACUUAUUCAAUCAACAAACUUCAUAUUCCUCUCCCUAAACAGUAAAUUCUAGAGGUUGAUCCAUAUAAAUUUUUAAUAAACCACCAUGUGGGAAUGCAUUAUUAACAUUUAAGUUGUUUGCAGGACACUUGAGAUUAUCACAUAAGUGGAGUUAAGCUUUAACAUAGGAGAAAACAUAUCAAAUAAUAUACUCCGGAUGUUUAUGAAUACCCCUUUAUGCUUUGCUUCCAGUCUUACAUCAUCAAGUUGAUAUUUGAUAAUAUGAAUCCAUAUAAACCCUAAAACAUGUUAUUUUAAUAGAGGAAUCGACCCCUAAAAUGUUAUGAUGAAGGAAAAGUUUGUUCUUUUCCUUCAUAACUGUAAGCAGGCAUUUCAAGACUUAGCCUUACACAACAAAAACAGUGGACAACACACUUAAGGAACCAAUGAUAAAGAAAGGAUCAAGCAUGAAAGGAAGACAAUAUGGAUAUAGGCUGGGAAGUUUAUUAAAUUUGUUUUUUCACGAGCAAUAUGAGCAUCAAGAAUUCAGGGUCAAUGGUCUCAAGUUAUACUAGAGACUUUGUAGAAUUAGCAGGCCUAGAUAAUUAUGGUAGGACGAAUUCAGGAGAGUAUUCCUGAAGUCCCUACUUGGUGCACAGUUAAACAUAAUUCUUUUUAAAAGAUUCAACCAUGUUAUGCAUAUUCCGUAAAUUAUAUUGUUGAGAUCAAGGAAGCACUAGUGGUGCAAUAGGCAUAGAAUUGAUUUUCUCCUUUGCAGCUUCAAUAUGGCUUGUUUGAUAUUGAAAUUGUUCACCUGUAAGGCCAUUGGGAACAGACUCCAAAAGAAAAGAAAUUUAGCAUUAAUGCUGACAAAGUAUUUGAAAAAGUCAGGGAUUUUAACUCUUACAUGUACAUUUUCGAGAACAUGAGUUACCAGAAAUAUGCACUUAACUGCAUCUUCUCUUUCUCUGCUCAAAUGUGCAUAAAAUAAAUGGCAGUUGAAUAAAAAUGGUGCCAAGAGAAAAAAUGCUGAAUUUGAAGCAUGAUCUAAAGUAUGUAAAUCCAUAUAUAUAUAAAGGCAUUUUAUUCAUUAUGGGGCAUGAAGUAAAAACAGCUUCACAUUAAAAAGAUCUUGGGACAUUUAUGCUAAGGUUCAAAAGGUUGGCAAUUUGAAUUAGAGGAUGAUGUUUAGAUUCACAAACUACAUUUUCUGUAAAGGAGAACAAGAUAGAGAUGGAUCUGAAAAAAGUAUUCUAUGACAUUUCCAAGUGCAUGGCAGCAUGGUUUUGCCAAUCACCAUAUUUGGAUUUAGUACUAAAACUAAACAAGCUGGAGAUAUCAAACAUUGAGAUCUGCUCUUCAUAAGGUAACAACUGGUCAUCCUAGAUUAAUUAUCAAUCAAAAUGCAUCAGAGUUCACUAAUAUUUGGCACUCCAGAGUCCCAGGAUGUCGCAUUAAACUAAGACAUAUGUAGCCUGGUUUUGAGUAUCUUCUCUGUGCAGAAGAGUUGAUCUAUAAAGUUUGUUUAACUGACACCACAACAAUACAUAUCAGACAAGGUGGAAGACAUUUCGAGUUUCCAAGAGGAGAGAACCAAGAUAAUAAAACCCUUGAAUGGGAGAUCUUGAAUGAAUGCAUAGCAGCAUGAUGGUCAACAUAGUCCAGAUUUCUAUCCUUAGGCUAUCCACUAAUCCCUUUUUCCUUAAGAUCUUGAAAGAAAAAAGUGAGUGGGAGGAAAGAUGAUAGAAUCAUUUUGAGAUUGGAGGAAAAAUGACUAAAUCAUGCAGAACUUUCAAAAGUAGAUCAAGGCAAAGCAGGGCACAGUUGACUGCUGCCUGGACCUGACACUUAGGAGAAAAAAUUAUUGACAACUGUGAGGAAAUCAUCUGGACACUUUUAAUCUGGUCGAGUAUAUAACUGAAAUUCUCAAAAUAUCUGAAUUUUGCUUAUCAAUCAAUUAUUGAGGAAAGAGAUCUAUGUGAAAGAAAUAAAUUCACGCAUUAAAAAUGGUAGGGCAUGAUAAAAAAAGCUGUUUUUAUGUAUUUACCAGCUAAAGUUGGUUUGCAAUGAAGAUUAUAGAAGUGGUUAGUUGUAUUAUUUAGGAAAUCAAUGAUAGAGAUAUUCAUUCUACGUUCCUAUAUUUCUGUUUUACUUUUUAGCAAUAGGUUGAGGGAAUGAUGAUAAUUUCUGUUAAAGUCCGCCGAACCGGUACCAGAACCCGUACCGGUCGGCGGACAGAUCGGUACGGUACUAGUUCGGUACCGUACCAACACACGGUACGCUCGGCACGCCAAUUUUUUUUUUUUGAGUUUUUCAAGUUCAAUUAAUUGACAAUCAAUCCUUUUUAACUUUUUCAAUGAUUUUAAGUCUAAUUUGAUUUUUUUAUUUUUUAUGUUUUUAUAAUUCUGGUUUAACCUAAAUUAUGCAUCUUGUUGUUUUAAAAUAAUACAAAACAGAAAAUGAUUAGUGAGAUCAAGAUUUGAAGAACCAGUACCGGGCAUUGAACCGGUUCUCCGGCGGUACGGCUCGUGUCGAGCUUGUAUUGACGAGCGAGGGCACAGUACUAUGGAAGAGAGAAAAAGAGAGAGAGAAGGGGGAGAGAGGGAGGGAGGCGGACGCCGGUGGAGGCCGGGGGGGCGGCAGAGGCUGCAGUAGGUGAGGCUGCAACUGGACCCCUGUUUCGUUCGAAAAAAGGAGAACCGCACCCCCCACGGCCCUCUGCCGACGUCCGCCACCUCUCCCUCUCCCUCCUUCCCCUGCUCGCUCUCUUUCUUUCUUCUUCUCUGGCUCUGGCAACGAGUCUCGUUUUCGUUACCGGAACCAUACCGAUGAGCCACCGGUACGGCUUGAGUCGGUCCGAACCAUCCGGUUCGGGACAGUUUCGCUAAUCUUGAGUGAGAUGUUGCAUGCUACAAGAUGCAAUAUAAAAUAUCUUCAAAUUAAGUAGUAAAGUAAAAAAUAUUAAAUAAUACAAGCUCAGUAAGUAAACCUUAUACUAUCUUACCGGAUCAAGUAUAAGUUUUUUUUCAUGUCAAUGCAUGGUUUAAGAAAAAUAACAGUUAUUGCAAAAAUAAAGUAUUUUAUAAUACAAUAUAUCAAAACAAGUCAUAAAGCAAAUCAUGCAUGAACAAAUCAUCCAUAUUUCAUAAACAUAGUUCUAAGUUUAUAUUGCAAAUAAAUUCGUGAAUCAUUCUUUAUGUCAGUUAAUCCUAUCAUGGAUCAAAAUAUUGCUCACAGAUAUUCAUGCUAUAGUCACUAUAACACAUGACAGGGUCAUCUUCGUAAUCAACAAGAUAUCAUAGUCCGUAUUCAUUACCAACUUUAAUCCAUUGGUAGAGGGUCGUUUUCGUUGGAUGCUAGUUCUAUGGUGUCGAUUGGCUUCCAUUUUUAGAGGCGGUCAUAGGUAUCUGAGAGCUUUUAAAAAAUUUAUAUCUUUUUUCUUAAAGUAUACACAUAAAUAGAUGAAAAAUACUAAAUGACAUGAUUCAUAACAAAGCUAUUUUCAUUAAAUAUUCAUGGAACUAUUUUUCAUAAUAAAGCAUGAUUUCAUAAGACAUAUGCUGAUCUAUAAUUUUAAGAAAAAAUAUGAUAUUUCCACAAGCAAAUCUUAUGCAAGAAAAACAUGAUAGUUUGAAAAAUAAUAAAAAGUGUAAGAUCUACUUAUUUCUUUCGCCUUAGACCGUCAAACAUCUCUAGGUAAAUAUGCUAAACUUAUUUAAAAAUAUUAAAUGUAAAAUUAAUCACCAUUCAAUGACUUGAAUGGAAUUAAAAUAAUAAGAAAUAUGGACGAUUAGCCGGAUGAUGGCAUUCAACGGAUCCGAGUGGGUUAAGCCUAAGCGACUCGAUCAAUAAAUCAUAGGGCAUGGACUCGAUUAGGGCCAAGGUCGUUCAAUAGAGUUCAUCAUCAGUGGGUUCUAUGGACACUUGACAGAGCCGCGAUGAUCGGUCCAGCAGACGCCCCGAGCAUUAGGGCGGUUUAGGGCUUCUUUUCAAAGAUAAACUCGAGUUCAUAGAUCAAGUCGAUGGAAUCCUAUACUGGGAUCCAUAGGGCUGUUUAGAGAGAGAAACAAACAAGAAGAGAGAAAAACUAGAGAGAGGAGAGAGAAAGUAAGAGAAGAGAGAACUAUGAGGCUCUCUCUCUUCUCCUUUCUAAAUUAGAGAGGGUGCUCGGGGGCAGCAGCCGCUCGUGGCCGGCGACCCCCAGUGGCUGACGGCCCAUGAUGGUGUCGGUAGCGUGCCACGCCCGGCAACAGCCGGCCGAAAUAGGAGGAAGAAAACAAAACUGGGUCGGUCGCCGGCCCAUGGUAGUGCCGGCAACGUUCCACGCCCAGCGACGGCUAACAGAAAUGGGAGGAAGAAAACGAAACAGGGAGAUCCUAUUUAUCACCAAUCCGGUGACUUGCCGGCCGGAUUCAAGGUGGAACGAUGGACCCAAAGACCAAAGAACAGAGAGAGAAGGUGUACCUUGCCUCCGGCAAUCUCCUUCGACUAGAUCGAUAGCGAGAAUCCCUGAGUUCCUCCCACGAAAAACCUAGAGUUUUAUGCCUCUAAUGGAUGAACUCCCACAGUUGAUGCCAAAGGAGAGGGCGAGAGGUUCUUAUAUAGAUGAAAAUCGACUCAAACAAGGUAGGAUUCGGUCACCAGCAGUCCCCUCCUUCCGACGGAAUCUGAGGAAGAGGAGGACUUCUAUUCAGAGUUCGAUUCUUCCUCUCCACAUGCACGGGCCGUGAGCCCUUGCUCACACGGGCUUGCGGCCCAAUUCAUGUGCGGGCUGGUCAAUGGACUGGGCCCUCACAAUAAUAGUGUAAUUAGUAUCCACAACUAGACACAGUGAAGCACUAACAUGUUCUCAAUGGUUCAAACUGAAAAAUAUAUUGAUCUAGGCGGAUCACCAAACUCAAUGAGGACCACUCUAGCCACUCCACAUGCGAAAUUUCUAGCCUUACUUGCUUGUAUGACAUUUUAUUGAGUUGCUCUUUUUUUUGAAAUCAGAUAACUUUUCGAGCUUUAUGAUGUGAUACCACUCUUUAAAGGUGUGGCGCACAGGUGAUCAGGACCAAAAAUUCCAUGUUUUGGGCCUCGAAACAGGUCGAUUAAAGAAAAAAAAACCUCUUUGGUGAAGGACAUUGACUAGGCGUAUCUCCCAAUCUAGGAGGAAUUAGGUGAAACAAUUGAAACCAAAGUCAAUUUAAAAGUUGAGAUCUACCUCUUAUAAAAUUCUAGCUUUUCAUGACCAUUUCCACUAAUCCUCUAUCUUGGGAAAGGUAUUUCCUCUUUUAACUAGAAGAGGAUUUCGAUACAAAUUGUGCAAGGACGGACCUCACUAAUACAAAUGGAGAUUCUAUAACUCAAUUUUGGAAUUCAUUAUUGAAACAAAAAGGAACCUAGACACUAGUUUUACCAAUUUUCAUACUUUCUAUUUUUUUAGAUAGAAUUGAGUUGAAUGGGUUGAAGGAAUCUCAUUCCUUCUCCUCAUUAGAUAAAAUAUAGUUGUAAAUACGGCCAUACAAGAAUAUUCGAAUAGCUGAACUGGAGCUCAAGCUAAAACUAGAUGCUAAUAUAAUACAAGUGCACAAGAAAAGGUCCUUAAGCAUAAUUUUGAUGGAAUCAAAUGAUUUUGACAAUAUGGCUUCACUUGAUAAAAAGUAAUGGUUGUACAGCUUGGCCAUAGCAAUCCAUAUGUACAGAUGGAGAAAAUUAGUAGGUUGCUGAAUCUUAUUUCCAAGGCCAAAUCAAUUUGUAUGUAUAAACUAAAAAAUGUUGCCUUAAUCACCAAUGCAGAAGUAAAUACAACAUCCAAAGCUAAAGCUUAAAAAUCAGGUGCCUAGAUCACAAAUGGGCACGAGCAAAGAGCAUAGGAAUAACAAAAUUUGUAGUUAAUAGUUCAACGAAGUCCGAGGGUGAAUCUUUAAGAUUAUCCUUAGGAUAGUUAUUUAGACCUAGAAAUAAUUUAGGGCUGAAAUAUAACUCGACCUGUGCAUGGGCAGGCUCAGCCCACUCAAGCCCUAAGCCUUUUGGGUGGGCUUGGACGAAAAUUUUGGCUUGACAGCCUGUGCCUUGGCUUGGGCUUGGGGAUCAAUGCUUAGCCUGAAUUUUUUAUUUUCUUGUGUUCUUUGUUUAUGUUUGUUGUACUUGUAUACUUAAUUUGACAAUUGUUAUUGAUAUGUGGACUUAAUUUGAUAAUAGACGUAUGUAGAUUGUUGACAAUAUUUAAUUAUUCAUAUUUUGUAUUUUUAAGUAUUUUUAAAUAUUUUUAACAUUUUUUAUAAAAAGGAGAAAGGAUUAGGCAGCUUGAGGCCCGAGCUAGGCCGAGUCUAGACGUACCGAGCCCAAGCCUAAGUAAAUUUUGUU